CAGGGAGUUUGUAAAUGAAAGAAAGAGAAUAAAUCAAUGGAAAAUUACCGCCGGCAGAAGUAAGUGCGAUAGCUUUUUUUUCAUUCAUUCAUAAUAGGUAGAUAGAGACAGAGACAGAUAGACAGACAAACAAACAGAUAGAUAGAUAGAUAGAUAGAUAGAUAGAUAGAUAGAUAGAUAGAUAGAUAGAUAGAUAGAUAGAUAGAUAGAUAGAUAGAUAGAUAGAUAGAUAGAUAGAUAGAUAGAUAGAUAGAUAGAUAGAUAGAUAGAUAGAUAGAUAGAUAGAUAGAUAGAUAGAUAGAUAGAUAGAUAGAUAGAUAGAUGGACAGAUGGACAGAUAGAUAGAUAGAUACAUACAUACAUACAUACAUACAUACAUACAUACAUACAUACAUACAUACAUACAUACAUAUAUACAUACAUACAUACACGGGUGAGUAGACAAAUGAAGAAAUUUGGAUGCAUUUUGAUGUAUUUAAAAUGGCAAUAUGUCAAACUGUUUUUCACACAUUUUUAAACUUCAAAAUCCACUCAUUCACACUUCUGCGCGACAGAAUUGUAUACAAGUAUUGUGAUGAAAGCCUGCAACGGAUUUCAGCCCCUGUCACACCUUCAGGCUAGACAAAUCUAAUCACUGAUCACUGUUCUUCUUUGGUGCACUCAGCCAGAAAGAAAACUGGAGCGAUCACAGUCAAAUCUCGGUUACGUAACUAGAAGAGAACCACAUUUUUAGCACAUGGGCUCACAAGGUGGUGCAGCGAAAUGAGGAGAGUUUUGGCGAAAGUGCAGAUAAUUAUGUGUGCGUAUGAAUGAAUAUAUAUAUAUAGAGAGAGAGAGAGAGAAAGAAAGAAACAAAGAAAGGGGAGAAAGAAGUCGGUAAAGUUAUAUAUAUAUACAAACACACACAUACAGUAUAUAUAUACAUAUAUAUAUAUAUAUAUAUAUACACACAUACAUAUAUAUAUAAUGAUGCAUAUAUAUGUUUCUAGUUAUAUAUUCUCAUAUCUGCGUGAGUCAAAAUAUUUUGGUUCAAAUUCGUAGGAACUCCGAGUUUCAAAGUGUGAUGUUAAUUCUCAGCCAUUGGAAAUUUGAUGUUACUGCUAACUUCAUUCAUACACUUUCUAAUCAGUACGAAUGACAAAGACAUCUUAUAUAUUUUGGUAGCGAAAUCUUUGAGUAAUAUACAAAGAUAUCACCUAAAAGCUUUUCCGGAACGAUAUAACUAAAAUGUAUCUAAAUCUAAUCCAACAUAUAUAUAUAUAUAUAACAUUAUCAACGACAAUUCACGUGUAUUUGCAGCAAAUGUUGCAGGUCCGAAAUACAGACAUUUCAACGUUGCAAAUAUUGAAUUAGGAAUAGGGAGCAAAAGAAUUCUAGAAGAUAUGAACGCCUGAAUAAGAUAUGCGACAGAAUUAAUGCAAAAGAACUAAAAGCCAACCAUUAUUGACACGUUUAACGAUAUAGACAAGUUUAGCAAUAUAAUAUCUUAUAUAGUUUUCUCAUUGUGUUUCCAGGUUCAAGUUCUGUUAAUGAAAUAAUGGACAAAGCAACAGAAACAAACAUAUAAGUAAAAAUCGAAACAGAGCCUCCAAGAGUCAUGUCUGAUAAUAUUUUAUAUGUUAAAAUAAUAUCUUUUUCAUAUAUAUAUAAUAUUACAUAUAUU
rnacentral:lncRNA from 1 species